rnacentral:misc_RNA from 1 species
AGCAGCCGCGGUAAUUCCAGCUCCAAUAGCGUAUAUUAAAGUUGUUGCAGUUAAAAAGCUUGUAGUUGAAUUUCGGGAUCAAGGAAUCGGUCAUGCCUCGGUAUGUACUGGUUUUAUUGGUUCUCACCUUCUAAAGAACCAUGAUGUCAUUCAUUUGAUGUUAUGGGGAAUUAGGACUGUUACCUUGAAAAAAUUAGAGUGUUUAAAGCAGGCUUACGCUUGAAUACAUUAGCAUGGAAUAAUGAAAUAGGACAUCAGGUUCUAUUUUGUUGGUUUCUAGGAUCGAUGUAAUGAUUAAUAGGGAUAGUUGGGGGCAUUAGUAUUCAAUUGUCAGAGGUGAAAUUCUUGGAUUUAUUGAAGACUAACUACUGCGAAAGCAUUUGCCAAGGAUGUUUUCAUUAAUCAAGAACGAAAGUUAGGGAUCGAAGACGAUCAGAUACCGUCGUAGUCUUAACCAUAAACUAUGCCGACUAGGGAUCGGAUGAUGUUAAUUUUUUAAUGACUCAUUCGGCGCCUUACG